rnacentral:rRNA from 1 species
UACGGAGGAUCAGACGUUAUCCGGAUUUACUGGGUUUAAAGGGUGCGUAGGCGGCCUUGUAAGUCAGUGGUGAAAUACUCUAGCUUAACUAGAGGGGUGCCAAUGAUACUGCAGGGCUUGAGUACAGAUGAGGUAGGCGGAAUUGACGGUGUAGCGGUGAAAUGCAUAGAUAUCGUCAAGAACACCUAUAGCGAAGGCAGCUUACUGGGCUGUAACUGACGCUGAGGCACGAAAGUGUGGGGAUCAAACAGG